UACGUAGGUGGCAAGCGUUGUUCGGAAUUACUGGGCGUAAAGGGCUCGUAGGCGGCCAACUAAGUCAGACGUGAAAUCCCUCGGCUUAACCGGGGAACUGCGUCUGAUACUGGAUGGCUUGAAUCCGGGAGAGGGAUGCGGAAUUCCAGGUGUAGCGGUGAAAUGCGUAGAUAUCUGGAGGAACACCGGUGGCGAAGGCGGCAUCCUGGACCGGUAUUGACGCUGAGGAGCGAAAGCCAGGGGAGCAAACGGG
rnacentral:rRNA from 1 species